rnacentral:rRNA from 1 species
UACGGAGGGUGCAAGCGUUAAUCGGAAUUACUGGGCGUAAAGCGUGCGCAGGCGGUUUGUUAAGUCUGUUGUGAAAUCCCCGAGCUCAACUUGGGAAUUGCAAUGGAUACUGGCAGGCUGGAGUAUGGUAGAGGAAGGUGGAAUUCCCGGUGUAGCAGUGAAAUGCGUAGAGAUCGGGAGGAACAUCAGUGGCGAAGGCGGCCAUCUGGAUCAACACUGACGCUGAGGCACGAAAGCGUGGGGAGCAAACAGG